rnacentral:rRNA from 1 species
CACGUAGGGGGCGAGCGUUGUCCGGAUUUAUUGGGCGUAAAGAGCUCGUAGGCGGCUCGGUAAGUCAACUGUGAAAGCUCCGGGCUCAACUCGGAGAGGCCAGUUGAUACUGCUGUGGCUAGAGUCCGGUAGGGGAGCGUGGAAUUCCCGGUGUAGUGGUGAAAUGCGUAGAUAUCGGGAGGAACACCAGUGGCGAAGGCGGCGAGCUGGUCCGAUACUGACGCUGAGGCGCGAAAGCGUGAGGAGCAAACAGG